rnacentral:rRNA from 1 species
UUCGCAAUGCCCGAAAGGGUGACGAAGCGACGCCGCGUGUGGGAAGAAGGCCUUCGGGUUGUAAACCACUGUCGGGAGUUAAGAAAUGCAAGAAUGUUAAUAGCGUUUUUGCUUGACUAAGGCUCCGGAGGAAGCCACGGCUAACUCUGUGCCAGCAGCCGCGGUAAUACAGAGGCGGCAAGCGUUGUUCGGAAUUAUUGGGCGUAAAGAGCACGUAGGCGGCUAUAUAAGUCGGUUGUGAAAGCCUUCCGCUCAACGGGAGAACAGCAUCCGAUACUGUGUGGCUUGAGUGUGGGAGGGGAGAGCGGAACUUCUGGUGGAGCGGUGAAAUGCGUAGAUAUCAGAAGGAACGCCGGCGGCGAAAGCGGCUCUCUGGCCCAUAACUGACGCUGAGUGUGCGAACGCUAGGGGAGCAAACGGGAUUAGAUACCCCGGUAGUCCUAGCCGUAAAC